rnacentral:rRNA from 1 species
AGAUUGAACGCUGGCGGAAUGCUUUACACAUGCAAGUCGAACGGCAGCACGGGGGCAACCCUGGUGGCGAGUGGCGAACGGGUGAGUAAUACAUCGGAACGUGCCCAGUCGUGGGGGGAUAACUACGCGAAAGCGUAGCUAAUACCGCAUACGAUCUACGGAUGAAAGCGGGGGAUCGCAAGACCUCGCGCGAUUGGAGCGGCCGAUGGCAGAUUAGGUAGUUGGUGGGGUAAAGGCGUCACCAAGCCUUCGAUCUGUAGCUGGUCUGAGAGGAUGAUCAGUCACACCGGAACUGAGACACGGUCCGGACUCCUACGGGAGGCAGCAGUGGGGAAUUUGGACAAUGGGGAAACCCUGAUCAGCCAUGCGCGUGAGUGAAGAAGGCCUUCGGGUGUAAAGCUCUUUCAGCCGGAACGAAACGGUUAACGGUUAAUAACCGUGACUACGUGACGGUACCGGAAGAAGAAGCACCGGCUAACUACGUAGCCAGCAGCCGAC